rnacentral:rRNA from 1 species
GACGAACGCUGGCGGCGUGCUUAACACAUGCAAGUCGAACGGACUAUUCUAUGGAAGCUUGCUUCCACUGAGAAGAUAGUGGCGAACGGGUGAGUAACACGUGGGUGACCUGCCCAUAAGAGGGGGAUAACAACCGGAAACGGGUGCUAAUACCGCAUAGUUUUCUUGAUCGCAUGAUCGAGAAAGGAAAGACGGCCUUUGCGCUGUCGCUUAUGGAUGGACCCGCGGCGUAUUAGUUAGUUGGUGGGGUAACGGCUCACCAAGACGAUGAUACGUAGCCGACCUGAGAGGGUGAUCGGCCACAUUGGGACUGAGACACGGCCCAAACUCCUACGGGAGGCAGCAGUAGGGAAUCUUCCGCAAUGGACGACAGUCUGACGGAGCAACGCCGCGUGAGUGAAGAAGGUUUUCGGAUCGUAAAACUCUGUUGUCAGAGAAGAACAAGUCGGAGAGUAACUGCUCCGGCCUUGACGGUAUCUGACCAGAAAGCCACGGCUAACUACGUGCCAGCAGCCGCCGUAA